rnacentral:tRNA from 1 species
GCGGCUGUAGUCCAGCCUGGUUAGGACCGAAGCUUCCCAAGCUUCUAGCCCGGGUUCGAAUCCCGGCAGCCGCA